AUCUUGAUAGCAAAGAGGUCAAAUGCGGCGGAUUCAAAAUCCGUUCCUUUUAGGUUCGCAGGUUCGAAUCCUGCUCAAGAUA
rnacentral:tRNA from 1 species